AUUACUAAGCGGAGGAAAAGAAACUAACUAGGAUUCCCUCAGUAGCUGCGAGCGAACAGGGAAGAGCCCAGCACCGAAUCCCGCGGCCGAUACCGGGCGCCGGGAAAUGUGGUGUUAGGGAGGAUCCGUUUAUCCCGAGGUCGUGCGGUGCGUCCAAGUCCUUCUUGAACGGGGCCACAGCCCAUAGAGGGUGCCAGGCCCGUAGCGACCGCUGCCGAUCGCGGGAGGAUCUCUCCUCAGAGUCGGGUUGCUUGAGAGUGCAGCCCUAAGUGGGUGGUAAACUCCAUCUAAGGCUAAAUAUGACCACGAGACCGAUAGCGAACAAGUACCGUGAGGGAAAGUUGAAAAGCACUUUGAAGAGAGAGUUCAAGAGUACGUGAAACCGUUCAGGGGUAAACCUGAGAAACCCGAAAGGUCGAAAGGGGAAAUUCAUUCGCGUCUCGACCGUCGGAGCGGAGCGUUCGUGCGACGGACGGCGUACGCGUCGUCCGCGCCUUUCGUUCCGCGAUCCGGCGUCGAACGCGUGCACUUUUCCCCUAGUAGGACGUCGCGAUCCGUUGGGUGUCGGUCUAAGGCUCGCGGUGGAGCCCGAGCGUGCGUCUUCGGGCGUUCGCGCUCGGACCCGCGGUGUCCCGGCCGACCCGCUCGACGGUAUACAGAUGGCGCGGGGCCGCAAAUUCAAUUUGCGUUCGGCCCGCGGCAAGCGCGUACGGUGUUGACGGCGAUCGGACCUGGUGCCGAUCCCGUCCCCGGACGACUGUUGGCCGCGGUGCUCUCGAACAGACCUCGUUCUCGAAACGCCGAUCUGCGACGCUAUAGCUUUGGGUACUUUCAGGACCCGU
rnacentral:rRNA from 1 species